GCCUAGCCGCGAUUAACCCCAAAAAGAUCAUUUUUUUAACCCUCCUGUUUCUCUUUAUUUCCCACCAUUUUUACGAUUAAAGAAGCCAAAUCCAACCUCUAAUCAAAUCUCAAAUCUCCCGCCUCGGCGGUGGAGGCGGUUAGGGCUGACGUGGAGGCAGACUCCGUGCAGCCUACAGGCGACGAUGAUGGCCGCGAUGUGUUAGGUUGCACUUGGAGACGAUUGUAACUCAAAAAAAGACCAUUAAAAUCGGGAAAGCAAGCUCAGAAGCUAGCGAAUGAUAUUUAAUUACACCCACUUAAUUAUGCUUGGGAUCAUCAGAACAAUUCAUGGAGUUUGCCAGACUGUACUCGAGCUGCUCAUCCUAUGGAACUAAUGCCAGGACCCUUCUGCCAUUGAUUUUUCAUUGGUAAAGGAACAAUGACUUUUUCCUGUUUAAUGUUUUGUGCAAAUUAUGUAUUUAUGAUUUCUUAGUUCUUACAAUUUCAUAGAUCUGUCCAUAUCUCAUCUAUGUAUAGUUGUAAAUUUUUUUUUUGAAGUA